rnacentral:rRNA from 1 species
AGCGAACGCUGGCGGCAGGCUUAACACAUGCAAGUCGAGCGGGCACUUUCGGGUGUCAGCGGCGGACGGGUGAGUAACGCGUGGGAACGUGCCCUCUGGUUCGGAAUAACUCAGGGAAACUUGAGCUAAUACCGGAUACGCCCUUUUGGGGAAAGGCUUGCUGCCGGAGGAUCGGCCCGCGUCUGAUUAGCUAGUUGGUGAGGUAACGGCUCACCAAGGCGACGAUCAGUAGCUGGUCUGAGAGGAUGAUCAGCCACACUGGGACUGAGACACGGCCCAGACUCCUACGGGAGGCAGCAGUGGGGAAUAUUGGACAAUGGGCGCAAGCAUGAUCCAGCCAUGCCGCGUGAGUGAUCAAGGCCUUAGGGUUGUAAAGCUCUUUUAUCCGGGACGAUAAUGACGGUACCGGAGGAAUAAGCCCCGGCUAACUUCGUG